rnacentral:rRNA from 1 species
ACGGCGAGUGAAGCGGCAAAAGCUCAAAUUUGAAAUCGGCCAUCAGGUCGAGUUGUAAUUUGUAGAUUGUACUUUGAGAGCGGAUUAAAGUCUGUUGGAACACAGCGCCUUAGAGGGUGACAGCCCCGUAAAAUCUAUUCUCAUUGUAAGGUACUUUCGAAGAGUCGAGUUGUUUGGGAAUGCAGCUCUAAGUGGGAGGUAAAUUCCUUCUAAAGCUAAAUAUUGACGAGAGACCGAUAGCGAACAAGUACUGUGAAGGAAAGAUGAAAAGCACUUUGAAAAGAGAGUGAAAAAGUACGUGAAAUUGUUAAAAGGGAAGGGUAUUGAAUCAGACGUGGUGCUGUUGUUCAACUUUGUUUCGGCAUGGUGUACUCAGCAGUACUAGGCCAAGGUGGGGUGUUUGGGAGUGAAAAAGGAAUAGGAACGUAGCUCUUCGGAGUGUUAUAAUCUAUUUUCAUAGCUCCUCAGGCGCCUCAGGACUGCGCUUCGGCAAGGACUUUGGCAUAAUGAUUCUAUACCGCCCGUCUUG